UUAAUCGCUACACAGUGUUUCACGCUUUCAUAGCGAUCUUCAGGCGAUACUACAGUAGUAUCGCCUGAAGAUCGCUUUGAAAGCGUGAAACACUGUGUAGCGAU